GAUGAAGAACGCAGCGAAAUGCGAUAAGUAAUGUGAAUUGCAGAAUUCAGUGAAUCAUCGAGUCUUUGAACGCACAUUGCGCCCCCUGGUAUUCCGGGGGGCAUGCCUGUCCGAGCGUCAUUGCUGCCCUCAAGCACGGCUUGUGUGUUGGGCCUCCGUCCUCCUCCCGGGGGACGGGCCCGAAAGGCAGCGGCGGCACCGCGUCCGGUCCUCGAGCGUAUGGGGCUUCGUCACCCGCUCUUGUAGGCCCGGCCGGCGCUUGCCGACACAUCAAUCUUUUUUCCAGGUUGACCUCGGAUCAGGUAGUGAUACCCGCUGAACUUAAGCAUAUCAAUAAGCGGAGGA
rnacentral:misc_RNA from 1 species